UACAGAGGGUGCUAGCGUUAAUCGGAUUUACUGGGCGUAAAGCGUGUGUAGGCGGUUCGUUAAGUCGGAUGUGAAAGCCCUGGGCUCAACCUAGGAAUUGCAUUCGAUACUGGCGGGCUAGAGUACGGUAGAGGGCGGCGGAAUUCCGGGUGUAGCGGUGAAAUGCGUAGAUAUCCGGAGGAACACCGGUGGCGAAGGCGGGUCUCUGGGCCGUAACUGACGCUGAGGAGCGAAAGCGUGGGGAGCGAACAGG
rnacentral:rRNA from 1 species